UAGGGAAUCUUCCGCAAUGGACGAAAGUCUGACGGAGCAACGCCGCGUGAGUGAUGAAGGUUUUCGGAUUGUAAAGCUCUGUUGUUAGGGAAGAACAAGUACCGUUCGAAUAGGGCGGUACCUUGACGGUACCUAACCAGAAAGCCGCGGCUAACUACGUGCCAGCAGCCGCGGUAAUACGUAGGUGGCAAGCGUGGUCCGGACUUAUUGGGCGUAAAGGGCUCGCAGGCGGUUUCUUAAGUCUGAGGUGAAAGCCCCCGGCUCAACCGGGGAGGGUCAUUGGAAACUGGGGAACUUGAGUGCAGAAGAGGCGAGUGGAAUUCCACGUGUAGCGGUGAAAUGCGUAGAGAUGUGGAGGAACACCAGUGGCGAAGGCGACUCUCUGGUCUGUAACUGACGCUGAGGAGCGAAAGCGUGGGGAGCGAACA
rnacentral:rRNA from 1 species